rnacentral:lncRNA from 7 species
UGACCUCUGAUAACCCCCGAUUAACCUUUGACCUUUGACGACCCCCACCUGACCUUUGACCCCGGCUGACCUCUGCCUGACCUUUGACCCGGCUGACCCCUGCUGACCCCUGGCCUCUGGAUGACCUCCGAUAACCCCAACCGACCUCUGACCCUUAACGACCCCCGCCUGACCGUUGACCCCACCUGACCCUUAACGACCCGCCUGACCUUUGACCCUGGCUGACCCCUGACUGACCUUCGACCCCUGGCUGACCCCUGUCCUCCAUCUGACCUCUGAUAACCCCCAACCAACCUCUGACCCUCAGCGCCCCCUGCCUGACCUUUGACCCCACCUGACCCCCGCCUGACCUUUGACCCCGGCUGACCCCCCUCUUGACCUUUGACCCCUCAGGCCGUCCUAUUGGACGCGGUGCGGAAGAACCUGGACAAGCUGCAGAAGCCCCGCGGGGAACCCAAAUCCAUCAUCUUCUGAAACGGCCCCAAAAUCCCCUUUUUUCACCCCAAAAAUCCCACGCCGGGGGUGGGGACCCCCCAACCUUUCGCCCCCCGACCCCAAAAUGCCCAUUUUGGGGUUUUUUUUUUGGCCCUUUCACCCAAAAAAGUGCGAUUUUGGGGGGGGAAACGCCAAAAAGAGCCAUUUUUGAGUCGGACCCAUUUUGACCCAAAAAAGUGCAAUUUUGGGUCAUUUUGGCCCAUUCCCAUUAACAAAAACAUGAACUUUCUUUUCUCCCCCAAUCCCCCAAACUCAAAACUUUGGGUUUUGCCCCAUUUUGACCCAAAAAAAGUGCAAUUUUGGGUCCACCAUCGCGUCCCCAUUACCAAAAAUCGCAACUUUCCAUCUUGACCCAUUUUG